rnacentral:rRNA from 1 species
UAAUACAUAAGUAGCCUGCCCUAGACAGGGGGAUAACUAUUGGAAACGAUAGCUAAGACCGCAUAGGUACGGACACUGCAUGGUGACCGUAUUAAAAGUGCCUCAAAGCACUGGUAGAGGAUGGACUUAUGGCGCAUUAGCUGGUUGGCGGGGUAACGGCCCACCAAGGCGACGAUGCGUAGCCGACCUGAGAGGGUGACCGGCCACACUGGGACUGAGACACGGCCCAG